rnacentral:misc_RNA from 1 species
CCGUGUUUGAUGGCCUCGGCCAUUUUCCACGCCCCUUGUUUCCACCUCCGGUUUCUUUGGCGAGAACUUGAUCGCUCUCGUCAGAAUCACUCUGGGAAUGCGGUAUCGUCUGAGUCUUUGAUUAAAUCAGCUCA